rnacentral:lncRNA from 1 species
GUCCAAGGUCUGUGACAUUACAUAUCACAUGAAAUCUGGUUAUUUAAAAGAAUCUAGGCUCUUCCCCCACCCCCCACUGUUUGCUCCUUUUCUGGCCAUGUGACCUGCCUGCUUUUCCUUUGUCUUCUGCCAUGAGCAAAAGCUCCCUGAGGUCUCCCCAGAAGCUUAGCUGAUUCAGGUGCCAUGCUCGUACAGCCUGCAGAACUGUCAGCCAAAUAAACCUAUUUUCUUUAUAAGUUACCCAGUGUCAGGUAUUCCUUUGUAGCAAUGCAAAAGGACUAGAACUGGCAGGAAAGUUUGUGAUGACAGCAGUGGACAUAUGGACCAUGUGAUAUGUAAUGUCAUACAUUAUCACCCAACCAGAAAUUACACAUGCUGCAAGGGGCCAGGCAGGUGGACAUGUGAAGCCUCUUGGUCAGGGGUGGGGAGCUGUGGCCAAUGGCAAAGAAAGUCCAGGCACAGUCCACUCCUCAGAUCCAGGCUUUUGAUGCCAUGUGGCAACACUGGUGGUCUUUUAUUGUGAGGGAAUCCAGAAAUCCAGAUUUUUGUGAAAAAAAAUCCCGAUUUUAAAAUAUCAAAAUGUUUAAGAAUUUUCAAGUCAAACAAACCAUGUCCUGAGUGCUAACAUUAAUCUAGAUAGAUUAAUCUACACAUACUCUGUAUAACUCACACAAUCAGUAGCCCUCCCUUGAUUCCUCUUCUUAAUAUAAUAACUAGAACAUUGUUAAACACCAGAAGGAAUUUUGUGCAGUUUUAUUUCACUUCUGCAUUGAGGCAUUCCUUCAACAAUCCUGUGUUCAGUGCCUUCUUGUCAGGCAUUACUCUACUUAGUGGAGAAUAAGGGCUGUACGUGUAGGAAAGGAAAAUAAUCUUUUCCUCACCCACCCUAGGUUCAUGGCUGAGGCUCCUAUAACAAAAUACAGAUGAACAAGAAAACGGCCUACACAUUUAUUUAUUUAUUUAUUUAUUUAUUUAUUUAGGAGACAGAUUCUUCCUCUGUCACCCAGGCUGAGUGCAGUGGCACAAUCUUGGCUCACUGGAACCCCCACUUUCUGGGUUCAAGUGAUUCUCCUGCCUUACCCUCCCAGGUAGCUGGGGCUACAGGUAUGUGCCACCAUGUCCAGCUAAUUUUUUUGUAUUAUGGUAGAGAUGGGGUUUCGCCAUGUUGCCCAGGUUGGUCUUGAACUCCUGAGCUCAGGCAAUCUGCCUGCUUCAGCAUCCCAAAGUGCUAGGGUUACAGGCGUGUAACUCUAGGACAGGGGAAAAGUUAAGCAAAGAUGAAGUUUCUGCUGUAGUUCAGCCUCAGCCUGCUCCCACAGAGAGUUUGAAUGGCAUCACAAAGUUGGCAUCACCUUAAGGUGAGGGGGUCAGGUUUUGCAGGCCUCUGUAUCAGCCCUCAGUUGUGAAUGCCUUUGGAGGAAGGCAAAGUCCUCCAGAAACUUCCAGGUGAAUAGCAAUUCUUUGGAGAAGUGUGCAGUUGUGAGCCAUUGGUGGCUAUCACUCACAGCAGCUGGGGAACUUGGUGUACCAAUCUGGUAAGGGUUUGGGGUGGACAAAGCACCAACAGCAUUACUGCAUUUUGCCACAGUGAUUUCUACAAAUGUGCAGUGAGCUUUACAGGAAUGGUAAUCAUGCAAGAAACCUGUUGUUUUAUUCUUCGCCAACACACUAAUUGUAAGUUUGGUAACUUUUUUAGUCUUGUGCGUUUUCCCCUUUAAAUAUGCUUUUAUUUUUGGUUACCC